AAGCUCCCCACCGCCCUACGCGUGCCCGAUUCUUGCCCUGUACCAGGCACCAAACAAAAGCUGAAUAAAGCAAGAGCGCUGCUCCCUGCCGGCUCUGCCCACGGGCUGGCUGCAGGGCAGCCCAAUGCGGCAGGGUUAAAUCUCCCACCACAGCUAGGAUCCCACAGCUCAGUUUCGUCACGUGGAUUAACCCUGUCUCAUCCCAAAAGAGCUGACGAGGACAAGCGGUGGGCUGAAAGACUGUGUGAAAUCUCUGCAUCUGCUGCACCAGCUAUCUGCACCACGACUGCAAACUCCUAGCAAGACCACAGCUAAGCCAAGCCCGGGAUCAGAAACGUUGCCGAAAUCAGGAGAAAUCUGGAAUACUGAGAACCCACCCCUGGAAAAUGUUCUUCUUCUGCAUUUUGCUUUCCUCUCCUGCGUUUCAAGCAGAAUGCAACUCCGUUUCCAGAGCAGUUUAUCAAAAGUGCUAUCAAGAGACUUCUGAGGUGCAAAGAGGUUCAUCACAGUCAUUCCUAGGCAGACGUGAACACAUGUGUCCAUAAUCAGCAAGGUGAUGAAGCUCCACCAAUGCCUCUCACCAGAAAUACGCUUUCUUUUUUUUGCACUAUGCUAAGAGUUUCCUUCGUCACAAGGUGUUCAGCAGCAGUCACCAGAGACCUUCAGGGACUAUUUUAGAUGCAUGCUUCCAGGGAUUCUUCACAAAGACACAGAAGAAAAAGUACCUUUCUUUUUCCUGUUAGUUUACAACGUAUUGUGGUUUUUUUCUUUAUCUUAGCCAAUCAAUUUCUUACAUAACUGAUAUUUAUGCAUUUUUCAACCAGCUCUACUUCUGUGUAUCCUGUUAUCAAUUCUGCUCCAUCCUGGAGAGAUUCCCUCCCCACUGCCACCACCGCCACCACCUGUCCCCUCCAAUUAGUGUCGACUGCCGCAAAGAUCUUUGUGAUAUUGAAACUAUAUUAAGACACAUGUACAUCUGUUUAGAAAGAAGGAUUUUCUUUCCACAGGAAAAGCUACCAUUUCAAAAUCUGUUUUUCUUUUGAACUGGAACAAAAAGUUGUAAUGUUUAUUUACCUGCAGAAUGAG
rnacentral:lncRNA from 1 species